rnacentral:lncRNA from 1 species
ACCCAACCCACAGUCAGAGGCUCCAACAGCAUCUGCAGUGAGACAGAUUUAAAAGCAGUGGCAUUCUAAUCUGUAGGACUUAACUGGGCAGACAGCUGUGUGGUCCCUAGCCAGUGGUGAGCAAGCCCAAGCCUGGAAGCAGCCACAGAAUAUCUAAGCCAUGUGGGCUGGAAGUAGCCACAAGGAUCAGAUGCCAUUGAACCA